ACACAAGACUUCAGGUAGAAGAAGGUGCUAGAACAGCCUUCUAGGAAUGCAGUAGUGAGCUUGGAGAGGGUGUGUCCUAGAAUCCCUAGAGCGGGUCUCCAUCCUUCAGUGAGCCUGUGUUCUCGCCUGUGAGUUCUCAGAAUCGAUCUUUGCCCUGCCCCUUCAUGGAAGCACAAGGAAUUUUGCUCCACUAUUCACCGUGAGAGCCUGAUGGAGCAUCUGGGGACGACCUCAAAGGAGCCUCUCUUCCAUGAACACGGCCCGACUUCUUGCUCUCGGAGCUUUGUCUGCUGGGCCUUCCUCCAGCUCUCAGCCCCUUUCAGUCCUCCCACUCCACCACAGGUUGCAGGACAGGGCCGAGCCUAGGCCUUGGUGCAGAGUCCUCUUCAGUUUCUUGUGUUGCUCUGGUUUGGGGACAGUUCUCCGAGCCAUUGAAGAAGAGUUGUUGGUCUUUCUGAUGUUUCAGGCUUGUAUUUGUUACCAGGAUGCAGUGGCUGCUUCUAAGCUCUUCACCUGUGCAACCUGUCAGCCAGCAGGCUUUGAGGUUUGCCCAGCACCGCUGAACCCACCAAUGGACAACUCAGGACCUGGCGUGUGAGGCCUCCGGACUCAGAGCCCUACCCAGCCCGGUCCCUGUUAACAGCCUCACCUCUGUGAAGCAUUGGCUCUCUGUGUCUCAGCUGCCUCCUCUCCGAAGGGAAUCCACCAGAGUCCUGCUGCCUUAGGCUUCUGCGAAGUGCGAGUGUCCUAGCGCCGGGUUCCAUUCUGAACACGCAAACCACGUCACCUGCACCACGGGUAAGUGCUCAAAAGAGCAUCAGCCGUAACCGGGUGAAAAAGUCCCUGUGUGUCGUGAGGUCUCAUGCUGUGAGUGACAUCACCGAAUAAAGGACCUUCUUUAAAAGUCUGCAAAAACCCAACCUACAAAAUCAGAUGUGUAACAGCAUGAGGAAGGAAGUCCAAUCGAGCCUUCAGACGAAGGUGUGCGGAAAUGCCAGGCACUGCAGCCCACCCCGCCUGUGCGCUUAGUGCGGACAGUGGCUUUGCUGUAGGACCCAUACUUCGGAUUUAGGAGUUUUCAACUCAAACCACACAGAUAACUUUGGACCAUUGUUUCUGUUCUCUUGGUGUGAUCCCAUAACUGGCAUUAUUUAGAAAAACAAAAUGGCUUUUCAGCGUGUUCCAGUAUCCCACCCUCCAGGAAGCACACCAUCCCUGAAGACUUCAGCGCAGAGCCUCUGAUCCUUCAGGCUCA